rnacentral:tRNA from 1 species
GCGGUUUGCUUGAGUAGCCUUCGUAAUGCGGGGGUCGCAGGUUCGAGUCCUGCAAGCGGCACCA